GGAUAGCCUUUCGAAAGGAAGAUUAAUACUCCAUAAUAUAUUGAUUGGCAUCAAUUAAUAUUGAAAGCUCCGGCGGAUAGAGAUGGGGCACGCGCAAGAUUAGUUAGUUGGUGAGGUAACGGCUCACCAAGACGAUGAUCUUUAGGGGGCCUGAGAGGGUGAUCCCCCACACUGGUACUGAGACACGGACCAGACUCCUACGGGAGGCAGCAGUGAGGAAUAUUGGACAAUGGGUGCAAGCCUGAUCCAGCCAUCCCGCGUGAAGGACGACUGCCCUAUGGGUUGUAAACUUCUUUUGUAUAGGGAUAAACCUCUCCUCGUGAGGAGAGCUGAAGGUACUAUACGAAUAAGCACCGGCUAACUCCGUG
rnacentral:rRNA from 1 species